UACGGAAGGUCCGGGCGUUAUCCGGAUUUAUUGGGUUUAAAGGGAGCGUAGGCCGCUUUGUAAGCGUGUUGUGAAAUUUGCCGGCUCAACCGGUAACUUGCAGCGCGAACUGCAGAGCUUGAGUGUGCGCAGCGUUGGCGGAAUUCGUCGUGUAGCGGUGAAAUGCUUAGAUAUGACGAAGAACUCCGAUUGCGAAGGCAGCUGACGGGAGCACUACUGACGCUGAAGCUCGAAAGUGCGGGUAUCGAACAGGAUUAGAUACCCUGGUAGUCCGCACGGUAAACGAUGGAUGCCCGCUGUUUGCACAUAGUUGCAAGCGGCCAAGCGAAAGCGUUAAGCAUCCCACCUGGGGAGUACGCCGGCAACGGUGAA
rnacentral:rRNA from 1 species